CUUGUUGCUAAGUGGCGAAUAAAAAUGGCAGCAGCCUGCUGGCGACCACGUGGAUAAACCGAUUUCGACUGCAAACAAAUCCUUAAAUCAAGAUUUGAAUGAUCAUACUGUUCGGAAGAUUGUGUAUCAUUACUGAAAAAUCAAGACCUAUAUCGGCAUUAAACUCAGAUGUCGUAUAAAUUCAUUGAAAAUAAAAAGGAGAAAGAGUAUACUUUUGCUGUGAAGAUUCAAAGGAAAAAUACCUUCGUCAGAUGCAACACAGAGAAAAUUCAAGUGAAAUUGUCAAUAUUUUUAGGCAGCUGAAGAUUCGUGCCCCAGCUCCUCGAAACGCGUGUUUCCUUAUUUGUGAGCACAGGCUACUGAAGAUAUCUGAAAGAACCACGAUAUCUGCUCCGUAAUCGCUUAAGUAAUGCUUUCAAAGUAGCAAUUUAGGUUUGGACAUUGCAUCUUAAUAAAACAUAGCAUGUUUUUACAGUGUGUUAGAAAUAUUCCUGCCUUAUGUGUAAUAUAGGUCUAUUUUCCUUGGCCUUUAUUAGGAUUUCCAACAUUUUUUAGGGAAGAAUCUGACUUAAAAGAAGGUGGGCACAUUGAAAAAAGGUUAACCACUUUAGUGUGAUUAAAAAGACCAUCUUUUCCAGCAUUGAAAUUUGCUAUAUCUAGAAUCAGAUAUUCACAAACUCUGUACAAGAGAGGCAGUAAAUUUUUUAAAACUAUCGCUUUUUAGAAACCUAUAGUUAGUUUUUUCAAAUAUUAGUCCUUUCCCUGAAUUCCCUCACGCAAAUUCAGAACCCCAAUCGCCUUAUCGACGUCAGGCCAGUGGUGCCGUGAAGGAGACUGGGAGGCUCAGCCUUAACAAGCCAGGAUAUGGGCACUUUGGGCCAGCCCUUGAUCUACAAUAGGAGGCUCGUUGUUUAUUCUUUUCUCUGUUGAAGGGGGGAGGGGGGGUACUCCCUAGAUACUUAGGAUGGUAUGAUCUUAUUCAUUGGAAAGAUGUUGGCUGCCCAUUCUCUGCCUUUCAACUGUAAUUAAAUUUUUGUAGAACACGAUUAAGUGUCAAUGAAUUUUUUUGCAUUGACGAGAGAGUAUGUAAAGGAAUUAAAAAGACGAUCGUUGUGAGAAUUAUAUAUUCACCAAUUCGGAAUUAAAUUGUUAUUAUGAAGUAUCUACGUUAUAUGUGUGAUCAGUGUGAUGAGUUUGAUAAAAGCAAGUAGCUUAGAAUGUCUUUGACUCUUAGAAUUAUAGCUUACUUUAUCUCCUCUAGUCAGAGUAGUCACAAUCCUUUUGAUGACCUGAGAAAACAACGGACCGUCUGGGGCAGAGCAAGCCCUAGAGCCAUCUUUAAUCUGCGAAUUAUGCUUACUUUUGGCUAUCCUAUCCCACCUCAAACCUAGCCAUUCCGCUCCCAUCUUUGUUAAAGUUCUUGUACACAAAGCAUAACAGCUGGUUCAACAUCUUCGCGAUCAAGAGGUGCCUUGUAACCACUUCCCUUGCUGCUCAAGUCUCCACGAGGUUGGUCUGAUACCCCUGACAAUUUUUCAUGUUUUUGCUUUUGCCCUCUUGCCUCAAAGAGUUAUUCUCUGUCUUCCGAACCUGCAUUAUGAAGCCAUGGCAAUUGCUUCCACAUUAUAGACUUAGCCAUGAAUGACCCCUCGAGCUCCGGGCAACCGAAGAAUAAAUAAUUUUCCUUGCAACUUUGCUUAACGCUAUCCUCAUAGUCCGGUAGUGCCUGCUUAGUCUGCCAAAGGGUGAAUCUCCUCAGUGUGGUCCUUUGAAAUCACCUAUUGAAAUUCUUUUGAUUAAAGUGCGAAGCCUUUCAAUUAUCAAUUUUCGAAUAAACGUAUUUUUGCUGGCUCAUCGUUUUAACCGAUUAAAUCGUGGUUUAGCCAAUUAAUUACCUGAAAUGUGAACUUUAUGCUGUAUUUUUGAUGCAUUUUUCCUUCUUUUCUCAGCGAUGAUUAUCGCUAUUUUGUUGGGCCCAGCCCCGGCAUUCCUCUGUUUAAACAAAGAGAGCCUUUUGUCUCGAAUUGAAAAGGCAGUGUUUCAGCUAAAAGUUACAAUUUUGGCUAAACUUUAAGGUUUAUGGAAAUGUCAAUCACACCACAGGAUGCAGAAAAUUAUGCUCUUUCUUUUGGUGUUUUCAACGAAAAAAUUGCGCCAUUUUUGGCGAAGUUAUUCGACUUUUUCUCAAUUUUUACCGAGGGGGAUUCAGGUUUGCACAAAGCAGUUCAGAAAAAACAAUAGGCUUGUGAUUCCCAGAGUUUCUAAAGAUCUCGGUUUUUGGCGAUUUACUCCCAAACUAUAAUAGUUAUGAAUUCGUGGAUACAUUCAUUCGACGCGCCGUACAAUUCUCGAUUUUUUGGGCCGUUCCUCGUAUUUUUAGGACGAGAUUUAGCAAAGUUAUCAAGGAUUUUGUCUCCAAAAUCGCCAAAAAACGGUUUUUUGCACUUUAAAAAUCGAAAAUAGCCGAUAAAAAUCUGCUGAUACCUUGUAAAAAUCGAGCCAAAAAUUGCCAAAAUUCUCAUAUAUAGCUUGCUCUGUUUGAAAUUGGCAUUAUCGAAUAAACUCGGUUUUUCCGAAAAGUGCACUUUUCAAAUUUUCUCAAAUUUGCAUCGCAGCGACCGGGACUGGUCAAAGCUGUCGCUGCGGUGGCCAUCAGUAGUUUCUUGUUAAAAACGGUAUUUUCUUGGAGUUUAAAAGCGGGGCAAACUUCUAACAUGCUAGAUAAGCUUUCUAGAAUAUAUUUAAACACACUUCGAGUGAUUUUUCUUGAUUAUAAAAACUUUGGUAAAAUUUCAUGUGUGUCGCUAGCCGCCCGUCGUCCGAUCGGCUUUAAAGAUUAGGAACCAUGUAAAAUCGACCGAUUUCUGACUUUCUUUGCAAUAAAUUGACAAAACGAUGCAGAAACAAUUUGUGUAUAUCAAGGAAUACCUAUUAUACUGCCCAGACUGCAUUCAAACCA